UACGAGAGGCCCAAACGUUAUUCGGAUUUACUGGGCUUAAAGAGUUCGUAGGCGGUGCAGAAAGUGGGGUGUGAAAGCCCUCGGCUCAACCGAGGAAUUGCGCUCCAAACUACUGUGCUAGAGGAAGCUAGAGGUGAGCAGAACAGAUGGUGGAGCGGUGAAAUGCGUUGAUAUCGGGAGGAACACCAGUGGCGAAGGCGGCGCUCUGGGCCGGAACUGACGCUGAGGAGCGAAAGCAUGGGUAGCGAACAGG
rnacentral:rRNA from 1 species